rnacentral:rRNA from 1 species
UACGGGGGGUGCGAGCGUUGUCCGGAAUCACUGGGCGUAAAGGGCGCGUAGGUGGUCUUAUAAGGGUGGGGUGAAAGCCCGGGGCUCAACCCCGGGUCGGCCGUGCCGACUGUAAGACUAGAGUGCUGUAGGGGCAGGCGGAAUUCCGGGUGUAGCGGUGGAAUGCGUAGAGAUCCGGAGGAAGACCGGUGGCGAAGGCGGCCUGCUGGGCAGUUACUGACACUGAGGCGCGACAGCGUGGGGAGCAAACAGG